CCACGAUUACAACUGUCCAAGCUUUUAUUUGAUACACAUGUUAAAACUGGAAUCAUAAGUGAUGACCUGGAAAUAAACUAAUAUUAUCAAGCCAAAAUACACUCGGAGCUAAAACUUCUAUAGAACAUGGGCAUGCAGACCGCCAGAAAACAACAAACACUCUGUUUUUAUUCCCGGUAGUGCUGCAUCAUUGUUUAAGACAAGCUGUUUUCUUAAAGUUUUACCCAAAAAUAUGGUAGGCCAAAUUAGGACAUUUGGCCAAAUUCAAGCUAGCUGGAAUAGCAGUAAUGAGAUGUGCACAUUCUUUUCAGUCAAAGGUGUAUCUGCUGUGGUGAAUUAAUGGCUCCUUUAAAUCCUGUUCUUCUUUCCUUACAGAAUCGGGUCAGGGUGAGUUAUCAGGGAGCCGCACUGUGACGUCUGUUCACUGUGACUUAUGGGAACAGCCCAGAGUUCCUGGAAGUGUGCCCUAUCACUGGCCACUGAUGGUCUCUGUGCCAGCCUUCAAACCAGGGCCGCGGCCUUCUACCCUCCAGAGAGAAAGUUGCAAGGGAGAGAGUCCAUGCUAUUCCACCACAUCCAUCCUGUAGCUAGUCCAUGUGUCUCAAGGAAUCACCGUCAAAGAAAGGAAUUUUUCCAUUUACAUGAAAUGAGUCUUCUCCAGGCAUUGCGAUAGAAUAAAAACUGACAGAGGUCAAUUUCGACUCCAAGAUAAGCAAAAGAACUUCAUGUACACUUACAGUAUAUCCAUUUUUCUGUAGGUAUAUUAUAUCUCAAUAAAAAUCUUUCACAAAUUAAAAAAAAAUAAGAACUUCAAGUAUAAAGAGACAUCUCUUUGGCCACGCUGUAUUUUGUUUUUCUCUGUUGGGGUGGGAGUCUCUGAGCCUCUUCUUCCCAGAGUGGUGUCUGUGGCUUGCCAGCAGCGGCCUCAGCGAGCCAGGUUUCACAGUGGUGUUAAUGGCACUGCGGCUCUUAUCUCUUGUCCCUGAUGGCAAAGAGCUUUCAGAGGGAGCCUCUGAAGAGCGGCCUCCACCUCAUCAAAAUGUGAAGGAAUAUAGCCUGCUCUUGAAUUAAUCCUCACAAGGACACCAUUGCUUCACCUAUCUGCUUAGCUCGUUCCGGCUCUGCAUUUCUGGUUUCUGGUUGGAGGCUGGAUUUUAGGCCCUAUAAAUGCACGGCAAGGCAGUGCCUCCGAAUUUCCUGUGGUGUCUCUGGAAGUAUGGCUUAUCUUGGCAGCUAUUUCUACAAUAAUCUGAUCAAACUGAUCUUCAUAGAUUUUCCUUCAAUUGAGAUAUAAUUCACAUACCAUUAAACUCACUCUUUCCAAGCAUAUAAUUCAAUGGUGUUUAGUGUAUUCACAAAACUGUGCAACUGUCACCACUAUGUAAUUCCAG
rnacentral:lncRNA from 1 species